GGGACUGAGACACGGCCCAGACUCAAUGAUAGAGGCAGCAGUAAGGAAUAUUAGACAAUGAGCGGAAGCUUGAUCUAGCUAUGUCGCGUGGGUGAUGUAAACCUUCGGGUAGUAAAGCCCUUUAAUUGGACAAAAGAUUAUGACUUAGUCCAAUCAAAAAGUCCCGGCUAACUUCGUGCCAGCAGCCGCGGUAAAACGGAGGGGACAAGUGUUAUUCGGAAUGACUGGGCGUAAAGGGUCCGCAGGCGGGCUUAUAAUUUCAAAGAACCAUCCCAAAGAACUCCUUUGGAUUAUCUUUGAUAAGUAUAGGUCUUGAGUCAGAUAGAGGAAAGUGGAAUGUCAUGUGUAGGGAUUAAAUUCGCGAAGAUGUGAUGGAAGGCCGAAAGCGAAGGCAACUUUCUGGGUCUAGACUGACGCUAAGGGACGAAAGCGUGGGGAGCAACAGGGAUUAGAUACCCCUUUAGUCCACGCCGUAAACGAUGAGUGUUCACUUUGGGUGUAAACAUCCGAGGUCUAGCUAACGCGUUAAACACUCCGCCUGGGGAGUACGGUCGCAAGGCUGAAACUCAAGGGAAUUGACGGGGGCUCACACAAGUGGUGGAUCAUCUUGUUUAAUUCGAUAAUACGCGCAAAACCUUACCAACCCUUGACAUCUUUUUUUUCUUUCCCUUAGGAGGGGGAAGAUUAUUAAAAAGACAGGUGCUGCAUGGCUGUCGGCAGUUCGUGUUGUGAAAUGUCUGGUUAAAUCCUAUAACGGACGCAACCCCUUCGAAAUUUUUCAUUUGCUUUUUCGUAAUGCCCAUGAGAAGUGGGAGGAAGGUGGGGAUCACGUCAAGUCCUCAUGGCCCUUAUGGGUUGGGCUACAAAGGUGAUACAAUGGUAAUUACAAAGGGAUGCAAUGAUGAAAGUCGGAGCAAAUCCUAAAAAAUUAUCCUAGUUCGGAUUGGUCUCUGCAACUCGAGAUCAUGAAGCUGGAAUCACUAGUAAUCGUGGAUCAGCAUGCCACGGUGAAUAUGUUCUUGGGCUUUGUACACACCGCCCGUCACACCGGGGAAGUCGGGUUGAUCCGAAAACCUUAA
rnacentral:rRNA from 1 species